rnacentral:rRNA from 1 species
CAAUAUAGUGAUAUGGAGCAAAACCCUAAAAAGCGGUCUCAGUUCGGAUUGAAGGCUGAAAUUCGCCUUCAUGAAGCUGGAAUUGCUAGUAAUGGCAGGUCAGCAUACUGCCGUGAAUACGUUCCCGGGCCUUGUACACACCGCCCGUCACACCAUGGGAGUUGGAAAUGCCCGAAGUCAGUGACCCAACCGAAAGGAGGGAGCUGCCGAAGGCAGGUUCGAUAACUGGGGUGAAGUCGUAACAAGGUACC